rnacentral:rRNA from 1 species
UACGUAGGGUGCAAGCGUUGUCCGGAAUUAUUGGGCGUAAAGAGCUCGUAGGCGGUUUGUCGCGUCGGCUGUGAAAACCUGGGGCUCAACCCCGGGCCUGCAGCCGAUACGGGCAAACUAGAAUUCGGUAGGGGAGACUGGAAUUCCUGGUGUAGCGGUGAAAUGCGUAGAUAUCAGGAGGAAUACCGAUGGCGAAGGCAGGUCUCUGGGCUGACACUGACGCUCAUGCACGAAAGCGUGGGGAGCGAACAGG